rnacentral:tRNA from 1 species
GCUAACGUAGCUUAUAAAAAGCAUAACCUUGAAGAUGUUAAGAUGGGCCCUAGAAAGCCCCGCAAGCA